rnacentral:lncRNA from 10 species
UGCAAUUAUAUCUUGAUAGCAUAUGUAUGCUUCUGUAUAGAAUGAUUUUAACUAUAAUGAUAAAUAAUGGACACCCGCAUAUGUAUUUAGCUGUGUGUAUUUGUGUGGUCAUAAAAGGUGAUGCUGUGAAGUGAUUAACAGCUUAGACUUCUUCAUGACUAGUUGUGCCAUUUUUUGAAUAUUAUCACUUUGGUUAAGUUGUUCAAACUCUCUAACAUUUAGCUUCUGCAUCUGUAAUAAUAGAUACCUUAUAGAGUUGUUAGGUGGUUAAGCACUGCAUAGAUUGCCUCGGCCAUCAUAAGCCUCACAUGAGCAUUAGCUAUUGUUAUGUGAAUCAUGAGUACUUCAAUACAGGCAUAACUUUUUAAAAUGUAGAUUGAUCUAUGCAAAUCUUGUGGCAUGAAGUAUAUUUCAAAAUAAAAAUAAAAUAUUCU